UACAGAGGGUGCUAGCGUUGUUCGGAAUCAUUGGGCGUAAAGGGCGUGUAGGCGGUUUGCUAAGUCAUGUGUGAAAUCCCUCGGCUUAACCGGGGAACGACGCAUGAAACUGGCAGCUAGAGUACCAAAGAGGGGGGUGGAAUUCCCGGGUGUAGCGGUGAAAUGCGUAGAUAAUCGGGAGGAACACCUGUGGCGAAGGCGGCCCCC
rnacentral:rRNA from 1 species